UACGGGGGGGGCAAGCGUUGUUCGGAAUUACUGGGCGUAAGGGGCUCGUAGGCGGCCAACUAAGUCGGAUGUGAAAUCCCCAGGCUUAACCUGGGAACUGCAUCCGAUACUGGAUGGCUUGAAUCCGGGAGAGGGAUGCAGAAUUCCAGGUGUAGCGGUGAAAUGCGUAGAUAUCUGGAGGAACAUCGGUGGCGAAGGCGGCAUCCUGGACCGGUAUUGACGCUGAGGCGCGAAAGCCAGGGGGAGCAAACGGG
rnacentral:rRNA from 1 species